CAACGGAUAUCUCGGCUCUCGCAUCGAUGAAGAACGUAGCGAAAUGCGAUACUUGGUGUGAAUUGCAGAAUCCCGUGAACCAUCGAGUCUUUGAACGCAAGUUGCGCCCGAAGCCUUCGGGCCGAGGGCACGCCUGCCUGGGCGUCACGCAUCGCGUCGCCCCCCCAACUCCGCUCGAA
rnacentral:rRNA from 1 species